UUCUCUUUUAGUAAGACGUUGUGAUCCAUUAGGAAUUGAUUGUCCAUGGUUGGCAAUUAUUGGGCUACCAAUAGUCUGAUAUUGAAGUUCAUAAUAACAAAUAAUGCAAACGUUUGUGUUUGUAUAUAUUGUUUUGUGAGCAUAUCAUGUACUGAUGUAGCUGCCUGAUGGAUUUUAAAGGUCAUAACAUUAAUAUCAUUGUAUAUUACCCGAAUUUAAUUUUGGGAUUUUUAGUUAUGUGCCCGAUCAACAACGGAUUCAUUUGGGAUACCUUUGGGACCCGUCUUGAAACACGGACCAAGGAGUCUAUCUAGUAUGCAAGUAAAUGGAAUAUUKAAAUCUAUUUGCGUAAAUAACUUAACUGUUUUAAUGGGAUUACGAGUUUCAUUCUAAUAAAAUGUGCUCCUCCAUCCCGGGGUAUUUUCAUAAUAUAUGCGGGUAACUGUAUAUAGAAAAUAUACCAUGAGCAUACUGGAUAUGACCCGAAAGAUGGUGAACUAUGCCUGAUCAGGUUGAAGUCAGGGGAAACCCUGAUGGAGGACCGAAGCAAUUCUGACGUGCAAAUCG
rnacentral:rRNA from 1 species